UACAGAGGGGGCAAGCGUUAUUCGGAAUUAUUGGGCGUAAAGGGCGCGUAGGCGGCAUGGCAAGUGGAUGGUGAAAUCCCUCGGCUUAACCGAGGAACUGCCGUCCAAACUGCUUCGCUUGAGACCGGGAGAGGUGAGUGGAAUUCCCAGUGUAGCGGUGAAAUGCGUAGAUAUUGGGAGGAACACCAGUGGCGAAGGCGGCUCGCUGGACCGGUACUGACGCUGAUGCGCGAAAGCGUGGGGAGCAAACGGG
rnacentral:rRNA from 1 species